rnacentral:rRNA from 1 species
GACGAACGCUGGCGGCGUGCUUAACACAUGCAAGUCGAACGGAGUGGCGAACGGGUGAGUAACACGUGGGUGACCUGCCCUGCACUUCGGGAUAAGCCUGGGAAACUGGGUCUAAUACCGGAUAGUGUGGGAUGGGCCCGCGGCCUAUCAGCUUGUUGGUGGGGUAAUGGCCUACCAAGGCGGUGACGGGUAGCCGGCCUGAGAGGGGGGACGGCCACAUUGGGACGGAGGCACGGCCCAGACUGCUAGGGGAGGCAGCGGUGGGGAAUAUGGCACAAUGGGCGGAAGCCUGAUUCAGGGCCGCCGCGGGGGUAAUGACGGCCUGCGGGUUGUAAACUCCUUUAACCAUCGACGCGGUAGAUGGAGAAGAAGCACCGGCUAACUACGUGCCAGCAGCCGCGGUAAUUC